rnacentral:rRNA from 1 species
CUCAUUAAAUCAGUUAUAGUUUAUUUGAUGGUCUCUUUGUUCUUCUUUUUACCUACUUGGAUAACCGUGGUAAUUCUAGAGCUAAUACAUGCGCAAGGUCCCGAGCGCGGGGGGCGGGGCUUCACGGCCUCGUCCUCGCAUGCGUAGAGGGAUGUAUUUAUUAGGUUAAAAACCAGCAGCCGGCAACGGCUUCAACUCCUGGUGAUUCAUAGUAACUCUUUCGGAUCGCAUUCAUG